rnacentral:tRNA from 1 species
GAUAGAAUGGCUGAAUGUAAAGUGGCGGAUUGUAGUCCCGAUUAUAUAGGUUAAAUUCCUUUUUUUAUC